AGAGUUUGAUCCUGGCUCAGGAUGAACGCUGGCGGCGUGCCUUAUGCAUGCAAGUCGAACGAUCCCCGCAAGGGGGCAGUGGCGGACGGGUGAGUACAAGCAAGGAACGUACCUCAAACUUCAGCAUAGCUCGUCGAAAGACGGGGUAAUGCGGAAUGUGGUACGUGCAGUUACAUGCACGUACUAAAGGGCAUAACAACCCGGUUUGAGAGCGGCCUUGUGACUAUCAGCUUGUUGGUAGGGUAAUGGCCUCCCAAGGCUAUGACGGUUAGGGGGCGUGAGAGCGCGACCCCCCACAAUGGCACUGAGACACGGGCCAUACAACUACGGUUGGCAGCAACAGGGAAUCGUUGGCAAUGGACGAAAGUCUGACCACGCGACGCCGCGUGAGGGAUGAAGGCUCUCGGGUCGUAAACCUCUUUUACUUCGCCGUCGAGGCGAGGAGAAUAAGCACCUACAAACUACGUGCCAGCAGUCGCGGUAAUACGUAGGGUGCAAGCGUUAUCCGGAUUCACUGGGCGUAAAGAGUCGUGUAGGCGGUUUGCCGCAUCGUGCUUGAAAGCCCGAGGCUUAACCUCGGCGUUGGGCACGAGAUGGGUAGACUUGAGGGAGGCAGAGGAACGGGGAACUCAUGGUGAAGCAGUGAAAUGCGUUGAUAUCAUGAGGAACACCAAAGGCGAAGGCACCGUUCUGGGCCUCUCCUGACGCUGAGACACGAAAGCUAGGGGAGCGAAGCAGAUUAGAGACCUGCGUAGUCCUAGCCCUAAACGCAUGUCUGCUAGAUGCCUCACGCAAGUGGGGUGUCGUAAGCUAACGCGUUAAGCAGACCGCCUGGGGAGUACGAUCGCAAGAUUAAAACUCAAAGGAAUUGACGGGGACCCGCACAACCGGUGGAGCGUGUGGUUCAAUUCGAGACAAAGCGAAAGACCUUACCAGGUCUUGACAUGCUACCGUUUUAUUCCGCUAGAAACAGUGGAAGAUCCGCAAGGAUGGUAGCACAGCUGCUGCAUGGCUGUCGUCAGCUCGUGCCGUGGGGUGUUCCCUUCAGUGGGAGAACGAGCGCAACCCGUAUCCAAUGUUACAUGUUGUCAUUGGAGACCGCCCACUCUCAAAGUGCAUGCUUUGAGAGAAGCUUAGAGAGUUUAGUAAGACCAGAAGCUUAGUAAAACAAAAUACGAAGCUACGAAACUUCUAAGCUACUAAACUUCUUCUCAAAAUGCCGUGCAUUUUGAGAGUGGGAGGAAGGAACGGACGACGUCAAGUCAGCACGGCGCUUAUGACCUGGGCUACACACACCCUACAAUGGCGAAAAACAAUGAGACGCGAAACGGUAACGUCGAGCAAAUCUCUUAUAAAUUUCGCCUCAGUUCAGAUUGAGGGCUGAAACCUGCCCUCAUGAAGUCGGAAUCGGUAGUAAUCGCAGAUCAGCAGGCUGCGGUGAAUACGUUCUCGGGUCUUGUACACACCGCCCGUCAAGCCAACAAAGUUAGUGGCGGCCGAAGAGCCCUCGCAAGGGGGAGCUAAGCCGAAACUAGCGAUGGGGACUAAGUCGUAACAAGGUAUCCCUAGCCGAAGCUGGGGAUG
rnacentral:rRNA from 1 species